rnacentral:rRNA from 1 species
CCUACGGGUGGCUGCAGUGAGGAAUAUUGGUCAAUGGUCGGGAGACUGAACCAGCCAAGCCGCGUGAGUGAGGAAGGUACAGAGUAUCGUAAACCUCUUUUGUCAGGGAACAAAGACUGGGACGCAUCCCCGAAUGAGUGUACCUGAAGAAAAAGCAUCGGCUAACUCCGUGCCAGCAGCCGCGGUAAUACGGAGGAUGCGAGCGUUAUCCGGAUUUGUUGGGUUUAAGGGGUGCGCAGGCGGUCUGUUAAGUCAGCGUUCAAAGCCCGGGGCUCAACGCCGGCCGGCCGUUGAAACUGGCAGUCGCGAGUUGGAGAGAAGUAUGCGGAAUGCGUGGUGUAGCGGUGAAAUGCAUAGAUAUCGCGCAGAACUCCGAUUGCGAAGGCAGCAUGCCGGCUCCACACUGACGCUGAGGCACGAAAGCGUGGGUAUCGAACAGGAUUAGAUACCCUUGUAGUC